rnacentral:lncRNA from 1 species
UUGGUGAGCCCGUAAAACUAACUGGGUUGUUUGUGAAUCCAGAAAAACAAAUGGAGUGGUUUUAGUCGGUGAGCCAGAAAAAACUGACCAGGUUCGUUAUGAUUAUGUGAAAACAACAAGUUGGGUUGUGAGCUUGUAAAACAAUAGAGCUGUAGUCUUAGGAUUAUAGUGAAUUCCCAAAAAAAGCUUGGGGAGUAGAUGUAGGAGCAAGGUUGGCUCCGAACCACUAUAAAAACCUUGUGUUUGUAUUGUGGUCUAUCUUGCUUUACUUCUUUACUAUUUUCUUAUAGAUCAUCUAAUCACAUUUGUUUAAAAUCAAGAAAGCUUUCAUUAACCUCAUUAGAUAAAAUUAAAGAAUUCAUUUUUAAUUAGAACCCAAUUCACCCCCCCCUCUUGGGUUGUUUUCUGGACAACACUCAUCCCUGCU